GGUACUGUGCAUGUGCGAGUUAUA
rnacentral:siRNA from 1 species